rnacentral:rRNA from 1 species
GUAAAAGUCGUAACAAGGUUUCCGUAGGUGAACCUGCGGAAGGAUCAUUAUUGAAAUAAACCUGAUGGGUUGUUGCUGGUUCUCUAGGGAGCAUGUGCACGCUUGUCAUCUUUAUAUCUCCACCUGUGCACUUUUUGUAGACCUGGAUAAUCUUUCUGAAUGCACUUGCAUUUCAGGUUUGAGGAAUUGACUUCAUGUCUCUCCUUACAUUUCCAGGCCUAUGUUUCUUCAUAUACCCCUAUGUAUGUUUCAGAAUGUAACAGGAUGGGCCUUUUGUGCCUAUAAAUAUAUACAACUUUCAGCAACGGAUCUCUUGGCUCUCGCAUCGAUGAAGAACGCAGCGAAAUGCGAUAAGUAAUGUGAAUUGCAGAAUUCAGUGAAUCAUCGAAUCUUUGAACGCACCUUGCGCUCCUUGGUAUUCCGAGGAGCAUGCCUGUUUGAGUGUCAUUAAUAUAUCAACCUCUUCGGCUUAUGCUUGUUGAGUGUUGGAUGGUGGGGGUUUUGCUGGUGUCUUAUGAAGUCAGCUCCCCUGAAAUGCAUUAGCGGAACAAUUUGUUGACCGUUCAUUGGUGUGAUAAAAUAUCUACGCUAUUGACGUCAGUCAGUUCAGCUUCUAACAGUCCAUUGACUUGGACAAAUUUUCAUUAAUGUGACCUCAAAUCAGGUAGGACUACCCGCUGAACUUAAGCAUAUCAAUAAGCGGAGGAAAAGAAACUAACAAGGAUUCCCCUAGUAACUGCGAGUGAAGCGGGAAAAGCUCAAAUUUAAAAUCUGGCAGUCUUUGGCUGUCCGAGUUGUAAACUAGAGAAGUGUUAUCCGCGCUGGACCGUGU